rnacentral:piRNA from 1 species
UGCUGCCAACUCCCUGCUUGCUCAGCCC